rnacentral:rRNA from 1 species
CCCUUAGAUGUUCUGGGCUGCACGCGCGCUACACUGAUGCGCUCAACGAGUUUACGACCUUGCCCGGAAGGGUUGGGUAAUCUUUUUAAAACGCAUCGUGAUGGGGAUAGAUUAUUGCAAUUAUUAAUCUUUAACGAGGAAUUCCUAGUAAGCGCGAGUCAUCAGCUCGUGCUGAUUACGUCCCUGCCCUUUGUACACACCGCCCGUCGCUCCUACCGAUUGAGGGAUCCGGUGAAUAAUUCGGACUGCAGCAGUGUUCAGUUCCUGAACGUUGCAGCGGAAAGUUUAGUGAACCUUAUCACUUAGAGGAAGGAGAAGUCGUAACA